rnacentral:rRNA from 1 species
CACGUAGGGUGCAAGCGUUGUCCGGAAUCAUUGGGCGUAAAGAGCUCGUAGGCGGUCUGUCACGUCUGCUGUGAAAACUCGGGGCUUAACCCCGGGCCUGCAGUGGGUACGGGCAGACUAGAGUGCGGUAGGGGAGACUGGAAUUCCUGGUGUAGCGGUGAAAUGCGCAGAUAUCAGGAGGAACACCGGUGGCGAAGGCGGGUCUCUGGGCCGUAACUGACGCUGAGGAGCGAAAGCGUGGGGAGCGAACAGG